GAACAAUACAGAAUAAGGAGUUAGCUCAGAAUUCCGAGGCUCCACCGAUGUGUUACUCUGAUUUCAGGAUAGGGUGUGUGUUUUAGGUGACAGUGAGUUAAAUAGAGACAUCAUGACAAAGGCCCAUAGCUCAAAGUUUGCUAUGCAUCUUGGAAGCACUAAAAUGUACCAAAGUAUGCGACCCCAGUUUUUGUGGAAUGGGAU
rnacentral:lncRNA from 1 species